rnacentral:rRNA from 1 species
AGUGAACGCUGGCGGUAGGCCUAACACAUGCAAGUCGAACGGCAGCACAGGAUCGCUUGCUCUCUAGGUGGCGAGUGGCGGAUGGGUGAGGAAUACAUCGGAAUCUGCCCAGUAGUGGGGGUUAACGGAGGGAAACUUACGCUAAUACAGCAUACGACCUACGGGUGGAAGAGGGGGAUCGCAAGCCCUCUCGCGAUUGGAUGAGCCGAUGUCAGAUUAGCUAGAUAGAGGGGUAAUGGCCCAACAAGCCGACGAUCCGUAGCUGGUAUGAGAGGAUGAACAGCCACACUGGGACUGAGACACGGCCCAGACUCCUACGGGAGGCAGCAGUGGGGAAUUUUGGACAAUGGGCGCAAGCCUGAUCCAGCGAUGCCGCGUGCAGGAUGAAGGCCUUCGGGUUGUAAACUGCUUUUGUACGGAACGAAAAGCCUUCUACUAAUACAGGAGGGUCAUGACGGUACCGUAAGAAUAAGCACCGGCUAACUACGUG